AUGGGAAGCCAGGCAAGAUGCAUCGCUCCAUCACAGAUGUGGGACGUCAUGAACAGUGGCUGGCUAGUGGUGGGGGAAGAUGACAUCGACAACUCCAGAUCCACUGCUGGGCUUAGCAGGCUGGGUCCAUCACCGCUCGUUUAAGUCAGUACAGCCUGACUGUGGGGCUGAUUUGGGCCCACACGACACAAAGUCUCUCAUGAAAUGUGUCGAGUCCCUGUCCUUCACGUGCGAGAUGCUGCCCAUGUUACACCUGAGAACUUUGAGCUCUGCGUCAAAACAAUUACGUAUCUUCGUGGAGGGCCAGCUUGAAUGGGGGCUACAAGUCCCAGGAGAAGAGGGGAAAGAGCCACAGGUAUGACAGUAAAAUCCAGUCAGGUUAAAAAAAAAAGCCAAAGACAGCUCCACACGGCGAUCCCGGGUCUUGAGCCAGCACCAGGCGCACACACACAGUGAUGAGACGAGGAUGAGAGCAUCCUGCCAGCUACCACACUGUGUCUUUACAGGUUAGUCAGGACGUAAGUAUAGCAAGGAUUUCCUCCUCUCCUUUUCCCAUUCUUAGGGCCUUGCUAGGUAAUCACUGGAUUCCUUUUAUGGGCAAGGGAAGGUUGCAUCCUGGAUGAGUGGGCACUGGGUGGCAGAAGGUGGCUGUGGUGGCAGUAUGUGGUUCUGCAAUGAAAGAGGAAGGCUGCAAUUUGUACCGGCAAAAGCAGAAUAGCAAUGGUGAGAGAGGUCCUGCUGAAAAAGCAAGGAGGUCUGAGCUAUGAGGCACUAUAGUAGGUAAAUGGAUUAAGGUCAUUUGGAGGCAUGAGGUUCAUGUGGGAUUAGCAAGGAGUCUGACAGGGCAUCUGAGCUUGAGGAAAGGGAAAGCCCUGUUGGCUGAGGCACUGAAUUUCAAUACAGAGGACUGGGCUAAUGGAGUCAUUUCUCUCCAGCUGCUAACUUCAAAGGUGUGAAGGCACAGGCUGCUGACUGCCAGGGUGUUGGGUCUCAGUUCAGUAGUAAACCGACUAGAGUGCUGUCAUGUGCCUAUACAGGCAAGGGAACUUUGCAUGUGCUUCACCAUGUUAAGAAAAAAAAAUGUUUCAGAGUUUGUUCUGGACAGCAUAGCUGAAUCACUGGGUUUAUCCUUUGCCUGAGAGUCAAUGCUCUGUGCCAGGAAAGAGCCCGUUCUUCCUUUAGAGAGGACUGGAAUGGUGUUCCUCAAAGAUGAGACUGACGGGGCUACUGAACUGACAUAAAUCUUGUUAAAGAUACCUGGCACUUUAAGGAGGGCACAGACAGCAGGGCCUGACACCAUCUCUAUACUGUGUGUGGUUGUGUACAUACAGAAAGCAGCUCGAGUAGCUUGAGCCUUUUAGCUGUGUUUUGGAGAACAGCAGAGGUCAGAGUUGCUUCAAAAUUUGAAGUCCUGUGUGUUUCUUACUGUGGCCGUGUACUUGCAGCUCCUGGACCUCAUGCACCCUUGCACACACGAGCAGCCGCAUCUACAGCUCCUGGGCAGAGGAGCAGCAACACCUGGAGACAGCAGCCAGGAAAAUCACAGCGGAUUCCCGAACACUGUGGGUCCAACUGCUGGUGUCCUUUGCUACAGGGUAAAGCCAAUCCUCUGGCAAUGAGAGUGAGCAGAGACCUUCCAAAGUAUGGCAGGAAUGUUGAUGAGCCAGAACUAGCUGCAGAAAGCAGGCAUAGGUUGUUUUUAGGGUGCUGUUGUAAUUGAAAGAGAACGUGGAUCAGAUUUGGAAAAACAUCUUCAGGAUGAGUUAGCUGCCAACAUGUUUCUGGAUCUGGUAGUAGACUGAUAGUCCAUGGCCUGGAACAAGUAUAAUUAUUUUUUUUCACAGAGAGUUUUGAUCUUCAUUAGAUUUUUACUCUAGACUGGGGAAGUGAGGAUGUGACAUUCUCCCUGUGGGCUUCGCCCUAAAUCCCUCUCUUGCAGGUAUUGCUGGCUGUGCUGUGAUGCCCGACGGCAGAUACGGAUGCAAGCACUCACUUACUUGGCAGCGGGCCUCCUGUACAUGACCAUGCAGUCCCUGGAUGCCCUGGAAUGGGGAGGUCCUGCUGUUAACAAGGUAACUGCUAUGCUGGGAUGGGCAUGUGAUCAGGGGCAGCAUUGUGUGCAUUGUGUGCAGGAGUGUUGUCCUGCUUCAGCAGUCUAUUCUUGAGCAGCUUGUUCACUGCAACAGACAAGAUGUUCCCUACUCUGGUCCUGUGAAAAGUUCCUCUCUGCUUAGUGUCUCGUUUGAAAGACAGGUGUCUGCUAAGGAGGCAAGAGCCUCCCUUGGAAUGGAAAUGUAACCCCCUCCCACCAAAUUAUUAUAAUUUU
rnacentral:lncRNA from 1 species